UGCCCUAACCCUAAACGCAAGAACCGAUUUUUGUAUUUUCACUUCUCCUUCGACUCCAAUCCGCUACCGCGUAAAUUGAUAAUGGGAAGCAGCGCCACCGCCGCCAACGGCGUCGUAGACAAGGGUGUUGAUUUCGCCAACUAUUUCUGCACCUAUGGCUUCCUCUACCACCAGAAGGAGAUGCUCUGCGACCGCGUUCGGAUGGACGCCUACUACAACGCCGUUUUCCAGAACAAGCACCAUUUCAAGGGAAAGGUUGUUUUGGAUGUAGGAACAGGAAGUGGAAUUCUUGCUAUAUGGUCUGCACAAGCUGGUGCAAGGAAAGUCUAUGCAGUAGAAGCCACAAAGAUGUCCGAACAUGCGCGGGAACUUGUCAAAGCAAACAAGCUCCAGGAUGUGGUUGAAGUGAUUGAGGGAUCGAUGGAGGACAUUGCGCUGCCGGAAAAAGUUGAUGUAAUUAUUUCAGAAUGGAUGGGAUACUUUCUUCUACGUGAAUCAAUGUUUGACUCGGUACUCUUUGCACGGGAUCGCUGGUUGAAUUCCGGUGGUGUCAUGUAUCCCAGCCAUGCCCGAAUGUGGAUUUCUCCUAUCAGGUCAGGGUUGGGUGAUCAGAAAAUGAGAGAUUAUGAUGGAGCAAUGGAAGAUUGGUCUGGUUUUGUUAAGGAGACAGAAGCUUGUUAUGGCGUAGACAUGAGUGCUUUGACAAAACCAUUUGAGGAAGAACAAAAGAAAUAUUAUUUGCAGACAUCACUCUGGGACAACCUUCAUCCAAACCAAAGUAUCGCUACACCUGUGAUCAUCAAGGAGAUUGACUGCUUGAAAGUUACUGUUGAUGAUAUACGCGAUGUUCGUGCAAGCAUUUCCACAUCCAUCACAGAAGAUGCAAGAUUAUGUGGCUUUGGUGGAUGGUUUGAUGUCCAUUUUCGAGGAAGCGAUAAGAGUCCAGCUCAAAACGAGGUUGAGUUAACAACUGCCCCACAUGAAGAUCUUGGCACACAUUGGGGCCAGCAGGUGUUCUUACUGCAUCCUCAUCGGAACGUUCAAUCUGGUGAUGAGUUGAAUAUUAAUUUCUUAAUGACUCGCUCCAAGGUGAAUCACCGGUUGAUGGAAGUUAAUCUUAACUGUGAGAUUAACCGGGCAUCUGGAAAACCAGUGCCUCCAGUACAAAAGAAGUUCUACAUCGAGUGAGCCAGCCAUCUGCUCAUACAUCUCAUCAGAUGUUCUUGGGUUGAAAUUUUGACGAGUUCCGUUUUCAGCAUCAUCUUCGGCUAUAUGAUAUGUUGGUGUUUGUUUGUAAGACUCUACUAGGAGAUGCAAUUAGAGUAAGUGGUAUUGGACUCAAAAGGCUCAACGUACUGCACGUUCUCGGGUACGAGUGGGCUGACCCGGAACCCACUCAAGGGUAAAACGAAACUCAUUGAUUGCUAUUCGCUUGGCUUCUACCGACCUAUGUGAAGAACCUUUCCCGAGAUCAACUCUUCAGUUUUUGCCGUUCCUGCCAACAACAGCCUAACAAAUAUAAGAAGCGCCGCCAGCAUCUUGAAAGAGUGUCAGAAUCUGAGCACCCUAGUUCUGUCAAGAAUCUCGGAGUUCUUGCUCGAGGGCUCAGUGGAAUCACUGGCGUUGUCCCAUUGUGGUCGUAGCCAAUAUAGUGAUUCUAAAUCUCGGAGUUCUUGCUCGAGGGCUCAGUGGAAUAAUCAUUGGCGUUGUCCCAUUGUGGUCAUAGCCAAUACAGUGAUUCUACAAUGAUCUUUCAACUAUCUUAAGAGGCAUGAUAUCUGGUUGGAUUGGAGAGUUUCAAAACCUUUUCUACUGGAUAUGUCAAACAACCUGCUCUUGGGCAACUUCUAAACUGAGCUUACUAGACUUAGAAGGCUAGCAGUCAAGCUACACUCUGAUCUAGUUGAGAAAAGCCUAGAGUUAACUGUGUUUGUCAAACCUGCAUAAGUCUCUGGCUUGCAAUACAAUCAACUUUCAAGCCUGCCACCAGCCACCAGGCAUCAGGUUUGUAUACAGGUGCUAUCCCCGUUGAGAUUGGUAGGCUGAAGUUCGUCACAGCCCUCAACUCAGUUGCAACGACUUCUGUGGACCAUCUGUGAUUCGUUGUCUGAUCUCACUAACUUAUUAGAGAAAUUGGACCUCUAAGACAACUUUCUGUCUGGUCGAAGUCCAGCAUCAUAUGGAAGCCUGCAUUUCUUCCAAUGUUGCCUUAGCCUAGAACAAUCUUGAAGGUCACCUGCCCUAAUGAGCACAGUUCAGAACUCUCUUAUUCGAGCUAACAAGGAAAUCCAGAGCUAUGUGGUCCGUUUCUACAGAGCGUGUGCUCUGAUCAUCCAAGCAAUCUGCAUUGGUGAAAGAAACAAGGAAGAAAAUCAUCACUGGACUAUUUGUUAUUUGUUCACUUAUUCAGCCAAUUUUGCCAUUUUACUCAUCUUGCAUAUUGCAUCCCACCCAGCCUUGAAAAUCUAAUCUUAAGAAAUUCAGCAUGUGGUGUGAUAAGGCUCAUUUCAUGCAUCGGUUUUAACGUAAAACAUAUACUACUUGAUCGGUUUAUCGCGCAAACAAGUGUUAAAAUGUGCAGAAAUGCUACUUGUCCAAGGCAGCAAGGCCGAACUGAUC